rnacentral:lncRNA from 1 species
CGCUCACAAAAGUAAAUUAUGAUGAUAUCGUAGUUGAUCGGAUCGGUAAUUUCCAAAAUCAAAUUGCUUGAGUUUACAGAGCAAAAAAGACAAUACCUCACAGCGGCAACUACCACCGCCAUCAGAUCUCUCACGACGGCUAUCUUCUCGGCCUCUCCCGUCGCUUCUUCUUCUUCUUCUUCUUAAAAGUCACGAAUCAGAGUCCUCCUGAUCAUCCUGUUACGCGAUCAAAACCCAAAUCGAAUAAAUCACGAAUUAGCAAAAACUAUUGUAAAAAGGUAACAAAAUCGAUCGAUCGCUCAUAAAAUCAGGAAGAAUAAAGUAACGAUGCGAGUGAUUAAGUAACAAGAAUCGAAUUAACUAACAGAGAUAAAUGUAAACUGGAAACAGAUCCAUCAAGAAAUGAAACAAAAUCUGAGAGUCCGAUCUCACCUUAGACUUGAUCAUGAUCGCCGGAUAUCGUCGGUGUAGAAGUAGAGUCACCGCUACUCAUAAUUGAGAGAACGUCGUUUCUAAAUCCUAAUCGCCGGUGGCUUUAAUAAGAUCGCCGUGACUCUACUUCUACAGACAUGUUU